rnacentral:rRNA from 1 species
GACGAACGCUGGCGGCGUGCUUAACACAUGCAAGUCGAGCGGUAGGGCCCUUUCGGGGGUACACGAGCGGCGAACGGGUGAGUAACACGUGGGUGACCUGCCCUCAGCUCUGGGAUAAGCCUGGGAAACCGGGUCUAAUACCGGAUAUGACUCCAUGACGCAUGUUGUGGGGUGGAAAGCCUUGUGCGGCUGAGGAUGGGCCCGCGGCCUAUCAGCUUGUUGGUGGGGUGAUGGCCUACCAGGGCGACGACGGGUAGCCGGCCUGAGAGGGCGACCGGCCACACUGGGACUGAGACACGGCCCAGACUCCUACGGGAGGCAGCAGUGGGGAAUCUUGCGCAAUGGGCGAAAGCCUGACGCAGCGACGCCGCGUGAGGGAUGACGGCCUCGGUGUAAC